AUGACCCCUGCGGAUUUGACCCUAGCUACACCCGGAGCCAAUCCCCUAGCGGUCUUGCCACCACGCCGCAGAACAGAAGCUCGUGUGGAACCUUGGAUUUCUGGCGUAAUAGCGGUGGAAGGUAUCAAAAUAUUACGGCCGCAUAACAUAGUAUAUACGCUAAGGUCGGCCAAAAUAUGGACACCCGAAGGGCCCGACACGCACAAUCCUAUCCUAUCCGAGCCCGUCAUUGCAGGCACUUUGGCAGCCGUCCGUAGCAUCAUAAGGAGCACCUCCCUUUCGAGGUACCCAAAUGGAACGGUCUUUAUUUGUGUUGUUGGUUGGUCUUUCUCAACGUGGUCUGUAGCACGAAAAACCAUUCUUUACAAGAUAGGGCCGUUCACAUGA
rnacentral:rRNA from 1 species